UACGGAGAAUGCAAGCGUUAUCCGGAAUGAUUGGGCGUAAGGCGUCCGCAGGUGGCAAUGUAAGUCUGCUGUCAAAGCGUCUGGCUCAACCAGAUAAAGGCAGUGGAAACUACAUAGCUAGAGUAAGGUAGGGGUAGAGGGAAUUCCUGGUGUGGCGGUGAAAUGCGUAGAGAUCAGGAAGAACACCGGUGGCGAAAGCGCUCUGCUGGACCUUAACUGACACUGAGGGACGAAAGCUAGGGGAGCGAAUGGG
rnacentral:rRNA from 1 species